GCUCUGGAGGACUGUGGUCUCCAGCCCGGGAGAUGCUGCUUCUGCAGGUGCCAGACCACAGGCCCCACCUCAGAAGAUCCAGGUCAUAAGAUUUCCAGGCU